GCCGGGUGCAGUGGCGCACUCCUGUAAUCUCAGCAGCUCAGGAGACUGAGACAGGAGAAUCACGAGUUCAAAGCCAGCCUCAGCAACAGUGAGGUGCUAAGCAACUCAGUGAGACCCUGCCUCUA
rnacentral:sRNA from 1 species